UCGAACGAAGCUUGACGGAUGAUUUCUUCGGAAUGAAACCAGAUAUGACUUAGUGGCGGACGGGUGAGUAACACGUGAGCAACCUGCCUUUCAGAGGGGGAUAACGGCUGGAAACGGUCGCUAAUACCGCAUGAUGUGUUCGGAUGGCAUCAUUUGAACAUCAAAGAUUUAUCGCUGAAAGAUGGGCUCGCGUCUGAUUAGAUAGUUGGUGGGGUAACGGCCUACCAAGUCUACGAUCAGUAGCCGGACUGCGAGGUUGAACGGCCACAUUGGGACUGAGAUACGGCCCAGACUCCUACGGGAGGCAGCAGUGGGGAAUAUUGCACAAUGGGGGAAACCCUGAUGCAGCAACGCCGCGUGAAGGAUGACGGUUUUCGGAUUGUAAACUUCUUUUCUUAGUGACGAAGACAGUGACGGUAGCUAAGGAAUAAGCAUCGGCUAACUACGUGCCAGCAGCCGCGGUAAUACGUAGGAUGCAAGCGUUAUCCGGAUUUACUGGGUGUAAAGGGAGCGCAGGCGGGACUGCAAGUUGGAUGUGAAAUACCGUGGCUUAACCACGGAACUGCAUCCAAAACUGUAGUUCUUGAGUGAAGUA
rnacentral:rRNA from 1 species